GACGAACGCUGGCGGCGUGCCUAAUACAUGCAAGUAGGACGCAGUUGCGAACGGGUGAGUAACGCGUAGGUAACUACCUAUUAGAGGGGGAUAAAUAUUGGCAACGAUAGCUAAUACCGCAUACUAGUAGAUGGACCUGCGUUGUAUUAGCUAGUAGGUAGGGUAAUGGCCUACCUAGGCAACGAUACAUAGCCGACCGGGGAGGGUGAUCGGCCCAAAGGGGACUGAGACACGGCCCAGAAUCCUACGGGAGGCAGCAGUAGGGAAUCUUCGGAAAUGGGGGGAACCCUGAACGAGCAACGCCGAGUGAGUGAAGAAGGGUUUCGGAUCGGAAAGCUCUGUUGUUAAGGAAGCGGUACUUAACGAGAAAGGGACGGCUAACUACGUGCCAGCAGCCGCGGUAAUAC
rnacentral:rRNA from 1 species